AGUCACUGACAUUAGAUACCCGCGUAGUCCAGGGUGUAAACGCUGCAGACUUGGUGUUGGGAACCCUUCGGGGGUGCUCAGUGCCGGAGAGAAGUUGUUAAGUCUGCUACUUGGGGAGUACGUCCGCAAGGAUGAAACUUAAAGGAAUUGGCGGGGGAGCACCGCAACGGGAGGAGCGUGCGGUUUAAUUGGAUCCAACGCCGAAAAACUCACCAGCAGCGACUGUUACAUGAAAGUCAGGUUGAUGACCUUACUAGAUUUCAG
rnacentral:rRNA from 1 species